rnacentral:rRNA from 1 species
UACGGGGGGGGCAAGCGUUGUUCGGAAUUACUGGGCGUAAAGGGCGCGUAGGCGGGAUGGCAAGUCGGUCGUGAAAUCCUUCGGCUCAACCGAAGAACGUCGAUCGAUACUGCUGUUCUUGAGGGUUGCAGAGGAGACUGGAAUUCCCGGUGUAGCGGUGAAAUUCGUAGAUAUCGGGAGGAACACCGGUGGCGAAGGCGGCGGCCUGGGUUGACACUGACGCUGAGGCGCGAAAGCGUGGGGAGCAAACAGG